GGAUUCUUAAGAGUCUAGUGUCAGAAGUGGGAUCCCAACGUAGACCUCCAGUGACCCCAGGAGCAUCAGCUGACUAAAUGAAGAAGCUCACUGCCUGCGCUCCUGCAGCGGAACUCUCCGGACCUCUUCUGGUUCUCAGUGCUGUUUAAUUCAUGAAUCCAUCUUUGUUCAAAUAAACUGUUAAAUUCAU